rnacentral:tRNA from 9 species
CCUUGGGUGGUGUAGCGGUCCGGCAAACCGUGUGUAUUUUUACGCAGUGGGUUCGAUUCCCAUAU